rnacentral:rRNA from 1 species
AAUCAACGCUGGCGGCGUGCCUCAGACAUGCAAGUCGAACGAUUAAAGCUCUCUUCGGAGAGUGUAUAGAGUGGCGCACGGGUGAGUAACACGUAAGUAAUCUACCCUCGAGUGGGGAAUAACAACCGGAAACGGUUGCUAAUACCGCAUAAUGCAGCGGCACCGCAAGGUGACAGUUGUUAAAGAUUUAUCGCUUGAGGAGGAGCUUGCGGCAGAUUAGCUAGUUGGUAGGGUAACGGCUUACCAAGGCUACGAUCUGUAACCGGUCUAAGAGGACGGUCGGUCACACUGACACUGAAUAACGGGUCAGACUCCUACGGGAGGCAGCAGUCGGGAAUUUUGGGCAAUGGGCGAAAGCCUGACCCAGCAACGCCGCGUGAAGGAUGAAGUAUUUCGGUAUGUAAACUUCGAAAGAAUAGGAAGAAUUAAUGACGGUACUAUUUGUAAGGUCCGGCUAACUACGUGCCAGCAGCCGCGGUAAU